rnacentral:rRNA from 1 species
CGAACCAACUAAGAAGCUUGCUUUUUGUUGGUUAGCGGCGGACGGGUGAGUAACACGUGGGUAACCUGCCUGUAAGACCGGGAUAACUCCGGGAAACCGGUGCUAAUACCGGAUAGAUUAUCUUUCCACCUGGAGAGAUAAGGAAAGAUGGCUUUUGCCAUCACUUACAGAUGGGCCCGCGGCGCAUUAGCUAGUUGGUGAGGUAACGGCUCACCAAGGCGACGAUGCGUAGCCGACCUGAGAGGGUGAUCGGCCACACUGGGACUGAGACACGGCCCAGACUCCUACGGGAGGCAGCAGUAGGGAAUCUUCCGCAAUGGACGAAAGUCUGACGGAGCAACGCCGCGUGAGCGAAGAAGGUCUUCGGAUCGUAAAGCUCUGUUGUUAGGGAAGAACAAGUAUCGGAGGAAAUGCCGGUACCUUGAACGGUACCUGACGAGAAAGCCACGGCUAACUACGUGCCAGCAGCCGCGGUAAUACGUAGGUGGCAAGCGUUGUCCGGAUUUAUUGGGCGUAAAGCGC